UGCUAUGGCGUCUGUGCAUCUGCCCCUCCCCGCUAUGAAGCAGGGAAAACGAACCCACUUGAAAGGUAGUGCGAAAAUCCGAGGCAUGGGCCUGAGUUCCAAGCUCUGGUGAAAUUCGCCUCUAAGGCUAAUGCUGCCGACCCUAUGAGUUGCUGACUAGGAGGAACGGUAGCAAAUUCGGCUGGGGAGGGAGCCUGAAGAGGCCAACGGCCCCAGGAGCCGUGGGGAGGGGCUGAAUGCUCCUCGCCACCGAGAAAAAACCGGAGGAAAGACACAAGGAGCUUUUUUGUUUUUUUGUUUUUAAACUUUAAACUUUAAACAGCAGGGGAAGACAAAACAUAUACUGAGGGCAAGAAACAGCAGAAACCAACAGGUAAGACUUAAAAGACAAACAAUACAAGCCUGAACCGACGGAGACAGAGAGGAAUCAACCAGAUUCGGUGAAGGCAAAAGAGAAAAAAAAAACUGCGGACGGAGCAGGCACAGACUGGGAACGGACCUACAGUAAAACGUCAGCAGUACUCUUUUGCCUUCAACCACUAGGUGGAGCUGGUUACCCCCACCUGAUAUCAUCUUUCCAUGCACAGGAGAAAGGUGAGAGGGGAGUAUCCUGUUCACUGUCUGCGUCUGGCUGCAGGGCCUCCGCUGUAUCUGGGGUGCUCUGCAGCUGAGGGAAAGAAGGAGCUGGAUUCUCAGGAGUCUCUUCCGUGUCUCCUUCUGGGUCUGCUGCUCCUGGGUCUGCUGCUGUUACUCCCGAGUCAUCCUCAUCGGAGGAGUCCUCUGAGGGGGCCAUGACAAGACUGGGCAUGUUUAGCCUUGAGAUGAGAAGACUGAGGGGAGAUAUGAGUACUGUUCAAGUGCUUGAAAGGGUGUCACACAGAGGAGGGCCAGGAUCUCUUCUUGAUCAUCCCAGAGUGCAGGACACAAAAUAAUGGGCUCAAGUUACAGGAAGCCAGUUUUCAGCUGAAUGUCAGAGGAAAAAGCCUAACUGUUAGAGCAGCAUGACAAUGGAACCAAUUACCAUUGUUGGACUCUCCAACACCGGAGGCCUUCAAGAGGCAACUGGACAGCUAUCUGCCGGGUAUGCUUUUAUUUGGAUUCCUGCAUUGAACAGGGAUUGGACUCGAUGGCCUCUCCCAACUCAAAUGUGAAACUGCACAUGCUCAGAGUAUUUUCUUUCUAUUUAUCAAGUUUGACAAAAUGUUUUUGUUUGUGUUUUGCUGAGAGUUGUGAAACUCCACAUGCUCAGGGUAUUAUUAUUUUUUGUAGUCCACAAAAGCUUGUGACAAUAACUUUGCAGAAGAUUUAUUUUAUUCCUGUUGGACUUCUGCUCUGUAGGUGUCAUGCCUUGCAGGACCAGGCCCCCAGGUACUCAGCCAGCUGUUGCUGAUAUGAUCCGCCUGUCCCUUCCCUGGAAGAGAUACAUAAACUGGCUGGCUAAGGUGGUUCCUGCUUUGCAAAUUGCCUGGUUUUUUGCGGGUCUUGAGUCAUGUCCCUGGGAGAGAGGACUCAAAGCCAAGUCAGGAGACUUGAGGGGGCCCCAAUUAGUGUAGUGAUAGAGAGAGGGAGAGGGAGAUAUGGCGUUGUGAGGAAGACUUGCAAGGUAAGGGGAACGUGGCCUAGACAGUUGCUGAGAUUAAAAGCAGCCAAAAGCUUAAACAGCCCCGCCCCUCGCUCAGGAAGGAAGCCUGAGAGAAUACUAAAGAGUUAAGCCCCAGCUGAUAGCCAUCAGCCUCAAGUAACACAUCAUUAGCUGGCAGCAGUAGCUGGGAGGAACCAGCCACACAUAUAAAGUCAGAGCACCCUAGCGAGGGAGCCUGCUCCACGAGCUAGAGGGAGCCCCAGCUGACGAAGCGUCAAGGCCCCAGCUGACGAAGCGUCAAGGCCCCAGCUGACGAAGCGUCAAGGCCCCAGCUGACGAAGCGUCAAGGCCCCAGCUGACGAAGCGUCAAGGCCCCAGCUGACGAAGCGUCAAGGCCCCAGCUGACGAAGCGUCAAGGCCCCAGCUGACGAAGCGUCAAGGCCCCAGCUGACGAAGCGUCAAGGCCCCAGCUGACGAAGCGUCAAGGCCCCAGCUGACGAAGCGUCAAGGCGAGUUAAGCAGCAGAGCGAAAAGAGGAACUCGUGGACACUCAAAGAAGCUGAAUGUUGGAAGAUUCAGGACAGACAAAAGGAAGUACUUCUUUACUCAGCGCAUAGUUAAACUAUGGAAUUUGCUCCCACAAGAUGCAGUAAUGGCCACCAGCUUGGAUGGCUUUAAAAGAAGAUUAGACAAAUUCAUGGAGGACAGGGCUAUCAAUGGCUACUAGCUGUGAUGGCUGUGCUCUGCCACCCUAGUCAGAGGCAGCAUGCUUCUGAAAACCAGUUGCCGGAAGCCUCAGGAGGGGAGAGUGUUCUUGCACUCGGGUCCUGCUUGCGGGCUUUCCCCAGGCACCUGGUUGGCCACUGUGAGAACAGGAUGCUGGACUAGAUGGGCCACUGGCCUGAUCCAGCAGGCUCUUCUUAUGUUCUUAUGUUCUUAUGUUCUUAUGUUGUUAAUGACUGUGCCUUGUUCCAGCCCUCCCCACACCGGCAGGUUUGUUAGUGUCCCUAUCAGCCAGCUCUCAGACCUCCGGAUGCUGCUCCUAAAUGCCAGAUCGGUGCAUAAUAUCUCCCUCAUUCAUGAUUUAAUUGUGGAUGAGGCAGCCAAUCUGGCAUGUAUAACCGAGACCUGGGUGGGUGUGCAGGGAGAAGUCCGUUUCUCCCAGCUAUGUCCGCCAGGGUACCUGGUUCAGCAUCAGGGUACACCUGAAGGUCGGGGACGGGGGUUGUUGUGGUCUAUAGGAGCUCCAUCACCCUCUGUAAGCACCCUGUCCAUGUGACUACUGGUCUGGAGUGUUUGCACCUUGUGUUGGGUCAGUGGGACAGACUGGGGAUUCUGUUAGUGUACUGCCCACCCCGCUGCCCAAAAGACUCCCUAGCUGAGCUAACGGAGGUGGUCUCAGGUGUACUGUUGAGAUCCCCCAGACUGUUGGUUCUGGGGGAUGUCAACAUCCAUGCCGAGGCCACCUUAUCUGGGGCAGCUCAGGAUUUCAUGGUCUCCAUGACAACCAUGGGACUGUUCCAAUAUGCCAUUAGCCCAACACAUUUAGCAGGGCAUACCCUAGACUUGGUUUUUGCAACUGGACAUGGUGAUGGUGAUCUGAAUGUGGGGGGGCCUUACAUCAGUCCCUCUGUCAUGGAUAGAUUACUGCUUGCUGAAGUUUAGACUUACAGUGGCUCUUCCACUCUGCAAGGGUGGGGGACCUAUUAAGUUGGUCCACCCCCAGAGACUAAUGGAUCCGGAUGGUUUCCAAAGGACUCUGGGGAGUUUUCCAGCUGAUAGGGCUGGCACUCCUGUCGAAACUCUGGUUGAACUGUGGAAUACAGAAAUGACCCGGGCAGUUGACAUGAUUGCUCUUGAGCGCCCUCUCCUAUGUAGAGCUCGUACGGCUCCAUGGUAUACCCCAGAGCUGAGAGCGAUGAAACAAUAUAGGAGACGGCUUGAGUGCAGAUGGAGAUGAACUCCUGGUGGAUGCAAUUACACACUGGUAAGUGCCUAUGGUAAGCUGUAUUUAGGGGCAGUGAGGGCAGCAAAAAAACAAUAUUUUGCUGCCACUAUCAAAUCAUCAAUCUGCCGCCUGGCAGAGCUCUUCAGAGUUGUCUGGGGGCUAUUACACACUGGCCCCAAGGACAUGCUAGAACCAUCUGAGACCCACUGUAAUGAAUUCUCUAGGCACUUCCAGGAUAAAAUCUUUAGCUUCUGCCAGGACUUGGACUCCAGUGUUAUAGCAGGUGAAUCAAGCGGGGUAUCCAGAGCACAGCCUUGUCCUGAUUUCUUGGAUGAGUUUCAGUUGGUACAGCUUGAGGACAUUGACAAGGUGCCUGGACAGGUUCGUGCAACCACUUCUGUGCUGGAUUCUUGCCCUUCUUGGCUAAUUAAAGCUAGCAGGGAUGGAAAAGCCGGCUGGGCCAGGGAAGUGAUUAAUGCUUCUCUGCGAGAGGGGGUGGUCCCUGGCUGCCUGAAAGGGGCGGUAGUGAGACUACUCCUGAAGAGACCCUCCCUGGACCCAGAAAAUAUUAAUAACUAUAGGCCGGUGGCAAAUGUUCCAUUCUGGGGCAAGGUCCUUGAACGAGUGGUUGCGGGCCAGCUCCAGACAAUCUUGGAUGAGACCGAUUAUCUGGAUCCGUUUCAGGCCUGGUUUUGGCAUGGAAACAGCCUUGGUCACCCUGUAUGAUGACCUCUGUUGGGAGAGAGACAGGGGGAGUGUGACUCUGUUGAUUCUCCUUGAUCUCUCAGUGGCUUUUGAUACCAUCGACCAUGGUAUCUUUCUGGGAAGACUGGCUGAGUUGGGAGUGGGAGGGACUGCAUGGCGGUGGUUCCGCUCCUACUUGGCAGGUCGGCUCCAGAAGGUGGUGCUUGGGGAACAUUGCUCGGCACCCUGGACUCUCCAGUAUAGGGUUCAGUAGGGGUCAGUUCUGUCCCCCAUGCUGUUCAACAUCUACAUGAAACCGUUGGGUGCGUUCAUCCAGAGCUUUGGAGUGCGUUGCCAUCAGUAUGCUGAUGACACACAGCUCUAUUUCUCCUUUUCAUCUUCUUCAGAUGAGGCUGUCAAUGUGCUGAACCGGUGCCUGGCUGCGACAAUGGACUGGAUGGGGCUAAUAAACUGAGGCUCAAUCCAGACAAGACUGAGAUGCUGUUAGUGGGUGGUUCUUCUGACCGGAUGGUGGAUGUCCAACCUGUCCUGGAUGGGGUUGCACUCCCCCUGAAGGAGCAGGUUCAUAGCCUGAGGGUUCUCCUAGAACCAUCUCUGUCCCUUGAGGCGCAGGAAGCCUCGGUGGCACGGAGUGCCUUCUACCUACUUCGAUUGGUGGCCCUAUCUGGACAGGGAUAACGUGGCUUCAGUUGUCCAUGCUCUGGUAACCUCCAAGUUAGAUUACUGCAAUGCGCUCUAUGUGGGGCUGCCUUUGAAGACGGUUUGGAAACUGCAGCUUGUGCAAAAUGCAGUGGCCAGAUUGGUAACAGGGACCAAUAUAUAUAUAUGCUUGAACAUAUAAAACCGAUUCUGGCCCGCUUGCAUUGGCUGCCUGUAUGUUUCCAAGCUUGAUUCAAGGUGCUGGUUUUAACCUAUAAAGUCAUACACGGCUUAGGACCACAAUACCUGAUGGACCACCUCGCCCAACACGAACCCACCUGUACACUACGCUCAACAUCCAAGGCCCUCCUCCGGGUGCCUCCUCCGAGGGAAGCUGGGAGUCUGGCAACAAUGGAGAGGGCCUUCUCAGUGGUGGCCCCCAAAUUAUGGAAUGAUUUUAUUGGUGAGGUUUGCCUGGCGCCAUCACUAUUACUUUUCGGCGCCAGGUCAAGACUUUCCUCUUCUCCCAGGCAUUUUAGCAUGUGUUUUUAAAUUGGUUUUUUAAAAAAUGUGUUUUUAAAUUUGUAUAUUUGUUUUUAAUGUUUUUAAUUGUUGUAAACAGCCGAGAGAGCUUCGGCUAUGGGGUGGUAUACAAAUGCAAUAAAUAAAUAAAUAAAUUUUGUGUUACCUUAUUUGAUGCUCCUUUCUCAGAGAAGGGGGCGCUAUUUUGGAAACUGCACCAGGGACCUCAACUACUCCCCUCUUGCCUCGAUUGUUGAAUUACGAAGAAUGGUAAAUUUGAUGAAGUGGACUCUAGCCCAAGAAAGCUUAUGCCACAAUACAUUUUUAAGUCUCUAAGGUGCAGUGGCGUCACUAGGGUUGGUGUCACCCAGUGCGGUAACUCAUGAUGUCACCCCCAUGGACCUCCUCCCAUACCAGACCAUACAGAAUCCUUAGUAAUGUUUUUUGCACUAAUGUUACUCGUAAAUCGUAAUUCCCGUGUAUCACUGAAUGUAAUGGCAAUAGUAGUGACAUAAACAACUAGCAAAAUUAAAAUUACACCUUUAAAUUACAAUAUCACACACACAGCCCAAAUUCUUGCUCUUAUCACUAAUGGGAGUUAAUUAUCUUGCAUAUGCCCAUAGUAAAUUUUCAGAUACUUUCAGACCCUCAGCAAUUUUCAAGUGGUCUAUGUAGAAGAAAAGUUUGGGAACCCCUGGUAUAAGACAUCUGCUUAUGUCCCUAUGCUGCUCUCACCCCUCAUUUAGGUGCCUGGGAUGUUUGCAUGUGGACAUACCUCCUUACAGUUGUGGAAAGUGAUUCUUAAUAAGAAGUCUCCAGACACAAAGUUACAUAGGUAUUUAUCAGUUGUUUAGUAGAAAAUUCAGAAGUGCAGAGUCCCUUCAUGAUAGUUGCAGCCACAUACACCCUUUUUUACUCCUGGAUUAAGAGUGAGAUCUUUGUUAAUGCUUUCUCUCACAACAACAAACAUCUCUAGGAGCCAAUCAGCAUGUAAGUGGAGAGCGUUAGCAAUUGAGAAGAGUCUUCUCAGUGGCUGACUCACCUUCUUUCACUCUGAUUGGCUCCAAUCAGCAGGAAAGGCAAGGAAGCCUAUUAGAAGACUCUUCUCAGUGACUAACACACUCCCUUUUCAUGCUGACUGUAAGAUGCUUGGAGACAUAGGGACCCUGCUCCCAAAACAGCAGAGCGACUAAGAUCCCCUGGGCGACUACCCUCCUGGUGCUUAUGGACAUGACCGUAAUAUAUUUUGUGAUGUGCAAGUUCGAUAUUAUUUAUUAAGUGUGUUUAGGAUUACACUGAUGGCAUUCCCAAAUAUGUACUUUCACACAGACUUUGGUUUUCCAUAACACAAUGUUUGUCCAAGCCUCCACACUUGGGGGGGCACUACUUGCACACCCCUUCCAUAAGCACAUCAAAGUUGGAUACACACCUGAACAAAGACCCAGACAAAAGGGCACUCAAAACAAAAAGAUAAUUACAGUGGCUGAGUAGAUCUUGUACAGUGGUUAUACUGACUGGGCAGCCACUGUCCUUCACAUUUUAUAAAAUACUUUUUCCUAUACAAAGAUUAAAUUUCUGUGUAUGAAAAAGUAACAUAUGAAGUGGUCUCAAUAGUGAGAAAAGUAAACAAAUGAAUGGUGAUCCAAAUGUUUUUCAUUCUCACGUUAUGAAGCUAGCUGCCAGAUGAUGUAUCACCUUCGCUACGCACGUAGCGUAGACUGAAAAAACAGCACCCAAGCCACCAUUCAAUAUGUGCACGUGUUCUUUCCAACAUGAAUCUACAGGUCUCAAAAAGUAAUGUGUGACAAAGUCCUCAAACACCUUAUAACAUGCCUCAGACAUGGUCUCUUGUUCUACCAGCAUGCCUUCACACCGUCACUUUGCCAAAACAUAAGGAUAGCUAAAUUGCUUUUAGGGAGGUUCACAA